UGAGUGCGAGCUGCUACGGCAGCGAAGUUGGUGAUGUCAUGCUUCCAAGAAAAGCCCUAUACCCGUUAAGGCAUCAUGGCCUGUACCCGAAACCGACACAGGUGGGGUGGUAGAGAAUACCGAGGGGCGCGAGGUAACUCUCUCUAAGGAACUCGGCAAAAUGGCCCCGUAACUUCGGGAGAAGGGGUGCCACCGCAAGGUGGUCGCAGUGAAGAGGCCCAGGCGACUGUUUACCAAAAACACAGGUCUCCGCUAAGUCGCAAGACGAUGUAUGGGGGCUGACGCCUGCCCAGUGCCGGAAGGUUAAGGAAGCUGGUCAGCGCAAGCGAAGCUAGCGACUGAAGCCCCGGUGAACGGCGGCCGUAACAAUAACGGUCCUAAGGUAGCGAAAUUCCUUGUCGGGUAAGUUCCGACCCGCACGAAAGGCGUAACGAUCUGGGCGCUGUCUCGGAGAGAGGCUCGGCGAAAUAGAAUUGUCUGUGAAGAUGCGGACUACGUGCACCCGGACAGAAAGACCCUAUGAAGCUUUACUGUAGCUUGGUAUUGUGCCCGGGCUCGCAAUGCGCAGGAUAGGUGGGAGGCUUUGAUCAUCGGCUUGCGGGUCGAUGUGAGCCAACGGUGAGAUACCACUCUUUGCGAGCUAGGGUUCUAACGGCCACCCGUCAUCCGGGGGCCGGACAGUACCUGGUGGGCAGUUUGACUGGGGCGGUCGCCUCCUAAAAGGUAACGGAGGCGCGCAAAGGUUUGCUCAGGCUGGUUGGAAAUCAGCCGACGAGUGUAAAAGCAGAAGCAAGCUUGACUGUGAGACCAACAAGUCGAACAGGGAGGAAACUCGGCUUUAGUGAUCCGACGGUUCUGAGUGGAAGGGCCGUCGCUCAACGGAUAAAAGUUACUCUAGGAUAACAGGCUGAUCUCCCCCAAGAGUUCACAUCGACGGGGAGGUUUGGCACCUCGAUGUCGGCUCAUCGCAACCUGGGGCUGAAGUCGGUCCCAAGGGUUGGGCUGUUCGCCCAUUAAAGCGGUACGCGAGCUGGGUUCAGAACGUCGUGAGACAGUUCGGUCCAUAUCCGGUGCACGCGCAGGAAUAUUGAGAGGAUUUCUCCCUAGUACGAGAGGACCGGGAGGAAAGCACCUCUGGUGUACCAGUUAUCGUGCCAACGGUAAACGCUGGGUAGCCAUGUGCGGAGUGGAUAACCGCUGAAAGCAUCUAAGUGGGAAGCCCACCUCAAGAUGAGUAUUCCCAUGGCGUAAGCCAGUAAGGUCACGGGAAGAACACCCGUUGAUAGGCUCUAUGUGGAAGCGCAGUAAUGCGUGAAGCAGAGGAGUACUAAUAGACCGAGGGCUUGACC
rnacentral:rRNA from 1 species